UAAUAGAUACCCUGGUAGUCCACGCCCUAAACGAUGCGAACUGGAUGUUGGGUACAUUACGGUACUCAGUGUCGAAGCUAACGCGUUAAGUUCGCCGCCUGGGGAGUACGGUCGCAAGACUGAAACUCAAAGGAAUUGACGGGGGCCCGCACAAGCGGUAGAGUAUGUGGUUUAAUUCGAUGCAACGCGAAGAACCUUGCCUGGCCUUGACAUCUGUCGAAUCCUGCAGAGAUGCGGGAGUGCCGCAAGGAACGACAAGACAGGUGCUGCAUGGCUGUCGUCAGCUCGUGUCGUGAGAUGUUGGGUUAAGUCCCGCAACGAGCGCAACCCUUGUCCCUAGUUGCCAGCACGUAAUGGUGGGAACUCUAGGGAGACUGCCGGUGACAAACCGGAGGAAGGUGGGGAUGACGUCAAGUCCUCAUGGCCCUUACGGCCAGGGCUACACACGUACUACAAUGGUCGGUACAGAGGGUUGCGAAGCCGCGAGGUGGAGCCAAUCCCAGAAAACCGAUCCCAGUCCGGAUCGGAGU
rnacentral:rRNA from 1 species